GCCCGGCACUGUGGGGCUUGCCUGUAAUCCCAGUGACUUGGGAGGCUGAGACAGGAGAAUUGCAAGUUCAAGGCCAGCCUCAGCAACUUAGUGAGGCCCUAAGCAACUUAGCAAGCCCCUGUCUCAA
rnacentral:sRNA from 1 species